AUGAAGCCUCUGAUAGACGCGGCCAUCACUGACUUAUGCAGCAACACCAACACCUUGUUGCAUGGAAAGAUGAUCAUCAUGGACGUGGACUGCUCCUCUGGCCCAAAUGCGCUAGCGCUGAUAUCAACUGCCAUCGACGCCAUCCACAACCACUGCCUUCCGAUAAACCAACCACCACCGGAAGUGUGUGUGCUACUAAACGACUAG
rnacentral:rRNA from 1 species